CACCCAGACUGCAGUGCAGAGGCGCGACCUUGGCUCACUACAACCUCCACCUCCCAGGUUCAAGAGAUUCCCCUGCCUCAGCCUCCCAAGUAGGUGGGAUUACAGGUGUGCACCACCACACCUGGCUAAUUUUUGUAUUUUUAGUAAAGACAGUGAUUCACUAUGUUGGCCAGGCUGGUCUGAACUCCUGGCCUCAUGAUCCGCCCACCUCUGCCUCCCAAAGUGCUGGGAUUACAGGCAUGAGCCACUGCACCUGGAUGGUCGCUUUUAGGAGAAGAAGAAAAACUACAAUUUCUGGUCCCUGUUAGGCAGUGAAGCAUAACAGUGAAAUCCUACAAAGGCAUCGAGACCUGGGUUUGAAUCCCAGCUCCACUAUGUACUAGCUGUGGGAUACUGGAAAGGUUACUCCCAGAGCCCCAGUUUCUUCAUUUGUAAAACGAGGAUAAUGAUAGUUUCAAACUUAUAAAUUGUUCAGAGAAUUAAAUGAGAUAAUUCAUGCAAAGUGCUUAGCAUGGUGCCCAGCACAGAAUAACUAUUUCAUAAAUAAAGAUGAUCUUUCUUCAGUAAAAGUUUCCUUUGGAAAAUUUCCAAGCCUCAUGGGUAUUCCAGGCAUCUGUCCAUAGCAGAAUUAGUAUGAAAGUAUUCAGGGGGUAUCCCAGGCCUCUCCAACCUCCUGGUCCAGAUGCUUUUGGGGCAAAAUCUGAACCAUGUUCAGGGACCAUGUUCAGGGGCUGGGGUUAGGGUUCAGUGUGAGGACAGGUUUCAGGCUCAGUCUGGGCCCAAAUUCAAAGCUCUGCAACUAACUCAUAAUAUAGCCUUGGGAAAGUCCCUUCCCAAUGAGCCUCAGUUUCCUCAUCUCUAAAAUGGGAACAACAUCCUCACCCAGCUUGCCUCCCGGAGGCACUGGGGGAGGACUGUCGAAUUAUGCGUGUGCAGGCUCGUGCGAACCCCAGGGAUCAGCCUCACUCUUCAGUGUUCCUUAUGUUCCUCUGGCCCUCAGGCCUGCUGGAUGAGAGAUUCUUCUCCCUGUUUCCAUGAGCCCACAGUGGAGGCCAUUCCCCAGGGCUAGAGCAGCCAGGCAGGGGACCCAAUGGAGACGGGGCAGGACACCCCAAGGCACUGCUGCCCCUCCCAGAAGCUGGGAACAGAAGGCUUGGAAUUCACUACGCACAUAUUUGCUGACUUCUCUGCGCUCUGCCUGCUUCGGGCAUUCACUUCCCAGAAGUUUAUUUGAGGAGACGCAGAUGAGCCGGAUUUGAGUUCCGCAGACCUGCCCAGACAAAUGGCUGAGCCCUUUCUCACUCCCUCGCUCACACACUCUCCACCUCCCUCGCUUUUUCUUUGUCUGUCUGUCUCUCCUGGAAGACCUGCCCUUUGCUCUCGCUUUCUCCCCGUGCUGUUUAUUCUCCAUUUGAUCCCCGGGCCCAGAUUCAUGCCCUGCCCUCCUCAGCCCUGCGCUGUGCCCCAGGAGAGUGACCCCAGAGAACUGCCUGGCCUGCGUGCCCCUGGUUGGGUUCAGCUGGUGGGAGGCACCGGCAGAGGUUGGAGGGAAGGGGAAGAGGGAGGUCAGGGAUUCCCUCCUCACUCCCUCCCUCCUGGGCAACAUUUUUAGCAGUGGCUGUGUUUCUCCAUGACUACGGCUUGCACCAGGCAUUCCCUCCUCCACAACACCAUUCCCUCCCCUCAUCCCAUCAGCCCUUGAGGUGGUAAGGGCUUCUGACUGGUGCUAGUCCCUGGAGCCCCACCUCUCUUGCUGCUUCCUAAAAUCUCCACCCAGGCCUCUGCAGGUAGCGCAUUCAUCACAGUCUCUGCAUAG
ensembl:lncRNA